rnacentral:rRNA from 1 species
CCCAGCUCGUCAUGCUAGAGCACUUUUUCUAUGUGCUCCCCAACAAGAAGGCAACCGCGCAUUCGUAUGUCAAUCCAUAUCAACUUUCGAUGCCAUUAACUGCGCCUACCAUGGUGACCACGGGCAACGGGAAAUCAGGGUUCCAUUCCAUACAGGGACCCUGACAAAUGGCUACCACGUGCAAGGAAGGCAGCAGGCGCGCAAAUGACCCGCUCCCGAUGCGGGAAGGUAGUGACG